UUUCAUUUUCAACUUAAAGAGACAAACUCACAAACGCACUAUUUGUUUGAAGAAGUGAGGGAGUCUUGAAAGGAGAGGGGAGAGUAGAUAAGAAGAUUUCUAUGCAUAGUAAGUAAGGGAGAGAGACACAGGAAAGAGCGAGAACAUUAUAGUCGUCGAUGAUGAGGGCUGAAAGAGGAUGGAAUGACAUGUACGGUCAAGUCAAGAAAAGAGGUGCAGAAACAGAUCAAAAGGUGAGAGAGAGAGGGGGACGGACUAAGAUUUAGAGGAACUCUAAAUUCAGAAUUUGAGCAGCAAAAAACCUAUAAAGGUGCAAUUGGCUAGGGGUGCUCAAGGGCUGCGCGUUUGGCUGUGAUGAUGAAGAAGUCCAAACUUGAAGCUGUUGAAGAUCGUCCUCUGGUACCUCCCUCCAUGCCAAACCCACCAACUUAUUUACCGGCACCACCAGGAUGGUCUUCGUCGCCGCCAUAGACAGUUGAAGAUGAUAAUGGAGAGUAGCUAAAUUUGGUGGUCUAGUUAGCGUUACGUUUAUUCUGAAUAAAAUGUCUGUUGCAAUCAAUUCUCAACAUAAAUGUAAUAUAUAGUUGUAUUAGAUUUGGGAAAUGAAAUUAAAUAAUAAUAAUAAAAAAAGGUUUCUACUCUCUAUUAUAAAAAGCUCGUGUGUGAUUUAUGGGUUAUAUAUUGGUUUUCUUUCUUUUUUUUUCCUUUUUUUUUUUCAAUUGAAACAGUGUGGAUUAAUUGGUGCAAUCAUUUUUUUUUUUUCUAGUGGCUCAAAUCAUGAUAUUUGGAUGUGUUUGGUAGCUAAGAAAAUGAAGGAAAAUUAGAGAAAGUGGGAUAGAAAGAGAAGGGAAAAAAAAUUAUAUAUAUAUAUAAUGGGGCUGACGGGUUUUUCUUAGUUCAGUUAGCCGUGGAUGUGAUGGUAGCUAACUUGGAUUUUUAAUUGACUUGGCAAAUUUCUGAUUCGCUUUCUGGGUACUUUGAAUUUCUGUAUUGGUCACUUUGCACUCAAUUUCAAUUGGAGACUGUGGAACGAUUUUUCAUGCUUGGCAUGAUGGACACUGUCCUAAACCUUGGACUUAAUGAUGAGGUAGUUGGUCGUUUGGCUUCAAAAAGUGGAGAGCGCUUUGCUAAUGACUCUUACAAACGUUUUCUAGGCAUGGUUGUAGAUGUUGUAACUCGUGGUGAACAGUACAAUAAUUUUUUCCUUGAAACCAAGGGUGAAAAUUUUCCUUCAGAUCCCUGUUUUGGUACAAAACAGCAAUUGCAGUUGGCUAUUAAAGCUGUUUUUGAUUCUUGGGAUAGCCCAAGGGCCAAUAAAUUCCGGAACAUCAAAUAGAUAACUGGGUUAAAGGGAACUGCAUGCAGUCAACAUUCAAUACACAUGGUGUUACUAUUUACUAUGCACUGUUGCUGGAAUUAAUCAGGACACCAUAAGACUUGGACAACAUGAAAAGUGGCAUGCCUGAAGCUUACAAGGGGCUUCUGGAGAACUGUGAAAUUCUAGAGCGACAUUACAAAGAUAUGAUAGUAAAAGUUCACAUCUGUUGGAAGAUGAUUAUAAUUGUCACCAUUACAAUAUUCAUUACCUUCUUGAUUUUAUAUAUGGGACACCAGUUUAUAACAAUAAAGUCCCAAGACCAAAGAUCAUGCGUUGAAGUCUUAAAUCCUGAAGCUUAAUGCGUAAGUUUUAAUGUUGCGUGGCUUCUUUGAGAAGCUCAAUAACAUGUCGGCUGGUACAAGAAAUAUGCAUGGAAA